UUCCUGGUGGCUUGGAUGGUAAAACAUCCGCCUGCUAUGCAGAAGACCCAGGUGCAACUCCUGGGCUGGAAA
rnacentral:tRNA from 1 species